rnacentral:rRNA from 1 species
AAGCGGCAACAGCUCAAAUUUGAAAUCUGGCUUCGGCCCGAGUUGUAAUUUGUAGAGGAUGCUUUUGGCGAGGUGCCUUCUGAGUUCCCUGGAACGGGACGCCAUAGAGGGUGAGAGCCCCGUAUAGUCGGACACCUAGCCUCUGUAAAGCUCCUUCGACGAGUCGAGUAGUUUGGGAAUGCUGCUCAAAAUGGGAGGUAUAUCUCUUCUAAAGCUAAAUACUGGCCAGAGACCGAUAGCGCACAAGUAGAGUGAUCGAAAGAUGAAAAGCACUUUGAAAAGAGGGUUAAAUAGCACGUGAAAUUGUUGAAAGGGAAGCGCUUGUGACCAGACUUGUGCCGGGCUGAUCAUCCAGUGUUCUCACUGGUGCACUCGACCCGGCUCAGGCCAGCGUCGGUUCUCGUAGGGGGAUAAAAGUAGUGGGAACGUGGCUCCUCCGGGAGUGUUAUAGCCCGCUGCUCAAUACC